UUUCGAGCUUGGAGUUUCUUGUGUAUAUGCAGGUGAAUUCUUAAUCAUGUGAGGCCUUUGAUGGAUCAAGCUCCCACAGUCAUUCCUGGGUUAAAGUAAUGCGGUAUUGCAACUUGUUGUCUCACUGAAAUUCUUGCUAUUGAUGCUUGCAUGAACCAAUUCCAGGGUGGAUUAGUACAUAUAUAUGCUAUAAAUAUUCAACCUUCCGGUGCUUGUUAGUCAAAUAUAUAUGGAUAGGGUUUGUACGCUGAUCUUGGAGUUUUCAAAGCCUUCUAUAAAAUUAUUAGCUAGCUACUUCAGUGACUAGGCGGAUUUGCAUGCGUUCAACUUGCUCUUUGUUAUUAGGCUGCUUCUUUCAGGGUUAAUGUGUGAGUUCCUCUUUUCAAUUUAGGAACUCCACCCUAUGUGUAAAUGUUUUUAUUUAUUUAUUGCCCUUCCUCUUCCCAUUAACUCAUCCCUAGCACGAAGAGGUUUCCCACUGCUAUUGCUUCCAGACAGGAUGGGAGGCUGUUAUUUAGGAAGUGUUCAUGGUACCAGGUCUCCUUUGACCAGACCGUUUCAGAAUGCGAACAAGGUCAUACUAUUCAAAGCUUUCCAAAGAAACAGUGAGCUUGGUUGUAGAUAGUCUAUUGAAAAGAUAGAAGAUAUGGUAUCUUGCAAGCAAAUGUUAGCAUACCUCCUGGAAAGAUGAAGGGAAGCUUCUGCUGGUCAAAGAUUCAGACAUUGGACACACAUAUCAUCUCCUACGACUCUUGUCACUCUGAUGAUCUGCAGGAUGCACAACAGGUGUUUGAAAACUGAGGUGAGGUCUACAUAUUCCAUAACCUCUGCUUUCUACGUAUGGGUUUGGGAUUUGAAGUUGCUAACCAGUUCCAUAUUCUGUUAAACGUGUGCAUUGAUUCAGUCUUUUGUGUUAAAAUAUAUCUGCUUUGACCCAGAAACCCUGAUGAAACGUGUGCAAGGUUGUGACAGCUAAUGCACCACAUCAAAACUAACCACACCCAGUUACUUAAGUGGCUCAAUCAAAAGGACUGGCUUGGAAAUUUCUGUUUUAGUACAUACUAUUGUUUUAUUUGUUAGUUGACGUGAUUGUGAUUUUCUUAAGUACUGGCUUGGAAAUGUUUGUGGUGUGUUCCUUGGCCUGCGUCUGUUAGUGCAAAUCUUCUUUUGUAUAGCCGGGAUAGAGAGAUAGAAAUAUUUCAGAUAUGCUGGUGGUUGCUGGUGCACUUGCAAGUAAAUGCAAUAGAUCAGGUUGGCUUCUCAUGCUUAUACAGAAAGUAAUUCGUUAAUAGGUUACUCUUAAGAUUCCUAUUGUUUGGCUUUGUUAAUGUGAUAAGCAGAAGUCCAUUUACUGUGGUGUGUUCGCUUUGGCAAAAUGGUGGUCUCCCCUAAUCUGUUUGUUGGAGGUACGAUCUUCCUUCUCCCGCUUGGAGCCUUGCGCCGUCUCUCCCCGGAUGGCGCCGUUCGGGGACGGUCGCGGUGGGGCAGUGGCACGUCGCCACCGGCGGAUGGACUGGAUGGGACCAGCGGCGAGUAGGGCCAUCGCCCGUGACCUCGAAGGUGCGCUCCGUCUGCCUCGGGAAAGGAGGGCGGCUCCGGUCGCUGCAGGAGCUCCGAUGGCGGCGGCGGACGGAUUGGAAGGGGACGGCGGCGAGUGGGGGAGGACAGACUGGAUGGUCCAGCGAUGAGCAGGGCCGCCUACCGCGAGCUCGAAGUUACUCUCUGCGUCACGCGAUUGGAAGUACUAGGCGGCAUCGGACACGGCGACGACGGUGUAGGAGGGCGGAAGCGGCGGGGAGUGGGGGUCCUCAUCUGACCAGUCGUUCGGCCGACCAAGGCUAGGAAGGCAGCCGUCGGCGACAAGGAUCUAGAUUUCGUCAGGGAGCCCUUCCCCACCUACGAGGCGUGCACGAAGUGGCCGAAGCGCUACCAGCGGCGCCCGUGAGGU